rnacentral:tRNA from 1 species
GGGGCUUUAGCUCAGUGGUAGAGCGCUUGCCUAGCAAGCACAAGGCCCUGGGUUCAGUCCCCAGCUCUG